UACAGAGGGUGCAAGCGUUGUUCGGAAUUACUGGGCGUAAAGCGCGCGCAGGCGGUCUUCCAAGUCAGUGGUGAAAGCCCGGAGCUCAACUCCGGAACUGCCAUUGAAACUGUGAGACUUGAGUACGAGAGAGGUGAGUGGAAUUCCCAGUGUAGAGGUGAAAUUCGUAGAUAUUGGGAAGAACACCGGUGGCGAAGGCGGCUCACUGGCUCGUAACUGACGCUCAGGCGCGACAGCGUGGGGAUCAAACAGG
rnacentral:rRNA from 1 species